AUUGAACGCUGGCGGCAGGCCUAACACAUGCAAGUCGAGCGAGCGGCGGAUGGGUGAGGACUGUAUGGGUACUGCCCGUUGGAGGGGGAUAACUACUGGAAACGGUAGCAAAUCCCGCAUACAAUUGGCUAACCCAGCUGGGAUUAGCUAGUAGGUGAGGUAAUGGCCCACCUAGGCGACGAUCCCUAGCUGGUCUGAGAGGUUGAUCAGCCACACUGGGACUGAGACACGGCCCAGACUCCUACGGAGGCAGCAGUGGGGAAUAUUGCACAAUGGGCGAAAGCCUGAUGCAGCCAUGCCGCGUGUAUGAAGAAGGCCCUAGGAUUGUAAAGUACUUUCAGGCGGGAGGCGUUACCGACAGAAGAAGCACCGGCUAACUUCGUGCCAGCAGCCGCGGUAAUAC
rnacentral:rRNA from 1 species